UCUCAAGCAGUGCUCAGCAGCGCGGGGA
rnacentral:piRNA from 1 species